AGUUCCAGGAGUGAUGCUGGGGUUUGGCCCCAGGGCCUCUUUGACUUCUUGUUGAUAAAUGCGGUCCCGCUCCUCAGUGGUGAACAGGAUCUGUAAAAGCUCCUGGCAAUCAUCCCAGGGUCUCGUUAUGUACUUUGGGCUGGCCUUGAACUCAUGGUGAUCCUUCUGCCUCAGCCUCCUGAGUUCUGGGAUUACAGUGUCCUAGGAACAACUGAUGACUCAAAAAUAUAAUGAGACGAAUCAUUUGAUGGGAGAAAUCCAACACUAGGCUGAAAAAUAAAUCUCAUUUCAAGGAGGAGGUCUCUCGCUAACAAAGAGAAGGGCUGAUGAAAUGGAGGGGAGGAGGUGUCAAAUCCCUUGUUCCUUACUGAAUAACUACUUGGUAAUCAGACUUCUAAA
ensembl:lncRNA